AUUGAACGCUGGCGGCAUGCCUUACACAUGCAAGUCGAACGGUAACAGGUCUUCGGAUGCUGACGAGUGGCGCACGGGUGAGUAAUACAUCGGAACGUGCCCGAUCGUGGGGGAUAACGAGGCGAAAGCUUUGCUAAUACCGCAUACGAUCUACGGAUGAAAGCGGGGGAUCUUCGGACCUCGCGCGGACGGAGCGGCCGAUGGCAGAUUAGGUAGUUGGUGGGAUAAAAGCUUACCAAGCCGACGAUCUGUAGCUGGUCUGAGGGGAUGAUCAGCCACACUGGGACUGAGACACGGCCCAGACUCCUACGGGAGGCAGCAGUGGGGAAUUUUGGACAAUAGGCGAAAGCCUGAUCCAGCCAUGCCGCGUGCAGGAUGAAGGCCUUCGGGUUGUAAACUGCUUUUGUACGGAACGAAAAGCCUCUUUCUAAUAAAGAGGGGUCAUGACGGUACCGUAAGAAUAAGCACCGGCUAACUACGUG
rnacentral:rRNA from 1 species